GGCUUGAAGUGGCCAUUUUCUUAUGUGGUUAAACAAAUUAUUUCUCUACCUAGAAGGUGUUUAAUUGGUGCCAAUUGAGGAGAAGGAGGAAACAGUGCUGUGACUUCCAGGAGUGAGAGUCAGGAGGCUUCAGCCAAGGAAGAGGAAAGUUGCAUUGACUUCUGAGAGGUCUUUCCCACCUAAAAAAAUUCACUUUAUUUAAAAUAUGUAUUAAGCGAGAGAGAGAAGAGGAAGUGGGAGCCAGCCAAAAGAGGCCAGAGGGUAAUUAACAGCUGCCGGAUGUACCACGGCCCUGCCGGCCAUCACUAAGGACUGUUCUCAGAUGAGCACCCGUUUCAUCAGCUGCCGGAUGUACCACGGCCCUGCCGGCCAUCACUAAGGACUGUUCUCAGAUGAGCACCCGUUUCAUCUGGUGGUAAUUCCCGUUGAUCAUUAUAAAUUAUUUAAGCCACAAAUGCUGGGCCACCCAUUAAACCAAGAAUGGGGAAGGUUGGCCAAAAUUUGCCUCUGGGAAGGGUCCUACUCCCCUGAAUUCGGUGGAAAUAGGAGUGAGAAGUAAGAGAUCAUCACUGCUGCCAUCAGAGAGUAAGCUGGAAGUUGAGCCCAGAGUCACUGUGACUCACGUCUUUCUACUUGGAAAAACGAGGUCUUGUAAUAGAGAGGACUUGAAGGGAUGUUAAGUGGAGACUAACCUGUACCAGAGCGUUUAUAUCCAGGAACGUUCCUACUAGGAGUGUGAGUGAAGGCCUGUUUAGAUCCAGGUGGGCCAGAAGCUGAGGUGGAAGCCCGCCAGGUUCCUCUGUCCAAGGGAUUCUCCAUGCAAGAAUACUCGAGUGGGCUGCCAUGCCCUCCUCCAGGGAAUCUUCCUGACCCAGGGAUCGAACCCGCGUCCCUUGCAUCUCCUACACUGGCGGGCGAGUCCUUCACCCAGGGAUGGAACCCGCGUCUCUCACAUCUCCUGCACUGGCGGGCGAGUCCUUCACCCAGGGAUGGAACCCGCAUCUCUUACGUCUCCUGCACUGGCGGGCGAGUCCUUCACCCAGGGAUGGAACCCGUGUCUCUCACGUCUCCUGCACUGGCGGGCGGGUCCUUCACCCAGGGAUCGAACCCGCGUCUCUUGCGUCUCCUGCACUGGCGGGCGGGUCCUUCAACACUAGCGCCCCUGGGAAGUCCACUCCAGUGUUUACAUCAUGCUACUUAAGACUCCAUCUCUUUAGAGUCAUUCUUGUUUUCCUGCUGGCCUUGAAGGAAUAAGCAGCCAUGCUGUGCAUGUCAGAAGGAAGAUUCACAUGCCAGGAAAAUGCAGGGAACCUGCAGGAACUGACAACCUCAGUCCGAUAACCCCAAGGAACUGAAUUCUGCCAACACCCUGAAUGAGCUUGGGAGCAGAACCUUCCCCAAUCAAGUCUUCAGAUGAGAGUGCAGCCUGGCCAACACCUGGGUUACAGCCUGGUGAGACCCUGAAGCAGAGAACCAGCUCAGCAGGCUUCGCCGCCUGACCCACAGAAGUGUGCCUAGAUUCUUAUCCCUGCACAGGACAAUAAAACAGCAGAUGAUCCGGUAACAGUGACAAGAACAAAAUCCCACCUACAACUUAAAAAACAUGAAGUGAAUAUUCUUUUCCAUUAUGUGCAUAAUGAGGUAUUAAAUACAUUUCCCUGUGCUAUAAGGUAGGAACACAGAUGGCUUUUUUCUGACACUGACUUGAAAAGCAUCCCUGAAGCAACCAGACAGAGCCGUUGUGAGAUUCAGGUUCUGCUGGAAGUCCAGCACGAUGACUGGGGAAGUUUCAGCUAGCUGUGGUGGUAGAAUGGCCCUCCCUCAAAACCAAGUGGCUAAAAAGAACUGUUGACUAUUAGUGACAAGACAAUGCAUCUGCCGGAUGGACCCACUGAUCUGGGCUGAGCUCUGCCCACCUCCGCCGGGCUUAUUGGCAUCCCUUUGGUCAGCUGGAGGGCUGGGUCCGCCCACCUCCGCUGGGCUUACUGGAAUCCCUUUGGUCAGCCAUGGCCCCUUUUGGCCAUGGCUGGGACACAUCAGCUUUGCUCCACAUGGCCUUUGAUCCUGCCCGCAGGUCAGUCUGGAUUUAUCCACAUGGCAGCAGCAAGGUUCCAAUAGAGUGGAAGCAUGGAAGGUCUCUUAAGCUCCGGAGUGAACUGGAUCGUUGUCACUUUGACCUCAUCAUACCGACAAAAUCAAGCCCAGAUUCCAGAGGAAGGGAAAUAGACAAUCCUCCUGGUGGGAGGAGCUACCAACUCAUCUUGGAUGCAGGAGGGAAAGAAUGGAAGCCAGAUUUGCAUCCAUGUACCAAAGGGAACUUGAGUAUUCUCAGCUCGCAUGGUAAACACCUUAUUUUUAGGGGGGAGAGUAGGAUAAAAAUAAAUCUUAUGUGUGAAAGAAGUUCCCAUACCCAAUUUAGAGACAAUCUGGUUUAUUAAAAUAGAAGCAUCUCCCCCCAAUUUUCUUUUUUAGUUCUCUUAUUUCUACCAUUUGUUGACUAUUCCACCCAAUGUAGAGAGAAGCUUUCAUAUUUAAUUUGUUUUUUGUUUUGUUUUGUUUUGAUUAUACUUGAAUUAUUUUUGGCUUUGUUUGUUAAUAUAUUAUUGUGGAAUUUAGGUGUCUUAAAACACGAGAAUAUUUUCUAUUCUUCUGAGUUUUAUUUUUAGGUAUCUUAAAAUGAAUUGCUAUCCAUAGUGGAAUACUUGAAAUCAUUGUGUGAAAAGGUGUGAUUCAGUUUUCACUUCUUCAAGAAACAUUGUUGAGUGAGUGCCUCUUGGGUACUUAAGAAGCUGGGCUAGUUGCUCAAGAUACAGUAAAGAACAAGGCACACAAAAUCCCUGCGCUCAGUGAAGUGUGAACUUGACUGGGGUGGGGUCAGGGUACAGAUAGGAAGCCAGCAAACAAGCAAAUAAAAGAGUCAGCAAACCAUGACUGAUUAUACGAAGUGCUGAGAAGGAUAAAGCUGGACGCUGGGGAGCUUGAUUUAAUCAGAGACCUCCACCUCCACUUACAGGAGAUUGGAGGAGGUAAAAGUGAAGCAGAGGCUCUCUUUGGGAAAAGAAGACAGCAGUGCAAAGGGCCAGGGGCGGAGCGGUCCAGAGUGGGCAGACCUGGAUGAGCCUCAAGACGCCUUCAUGGAGAGUUUCAGGGACAGAAUCCAGUGUCCCAAGUGCCAUCAGCUCUCUGCUUCUGUCCAUCUGGAGUCAUCAGUCUUUGGAGUGCUUUCCUUCCCAGGGGCAGCAGUUGCCUCUCUCUCAGAGGGCUGCCUUCAGACCUCCAGAAUUCACUUUUCCUGAAAGUCCCAAGAGCUCUGAGUCCUGGGAGUGGACAUUCUUUGGGGCAGCCCUUUAGCAAUAUUGAUGAGAGUGGGGGUAUCAGUUCCCCAACUCCCUUGCCAAUGGGGUACCUCCCAGACCUCCCCUGCAGAAAUAAGCCAAAGUUGUGUUCUUGCCUGGAGAAUCCCAGGGACGGGGGAGCCUGGUGGGCUGCUGUCUGUGGGGUCACACAGAGUCAGACACGACUGAAGUGACUUAGCAGCAGCAGCAGUCCUAAGUGGGACUUUUCUUGAUUUCUCACCCUUGCUGGAUUUUCUUCUUUUUCUGUCCCACCUCCAUCACUCUCCUACUGGCUUUUCCUGGAACGUUUUCUAAUAAGUGACACUCUCAGGGAUUCUUGUCCUUGGAGGUGAUUCCAAGGUAAGGCAACCCUGGGCAGCCAGUGGCAUUGGAGCAAAAUGAAUGAAGAACGAGGUAUGAGAUAGGGUUCCAGAGACAGGUCAGGCACUGUGUAGCAAGUACUUGUACCCCUGUACAAGCAAGCAGGAAAUUGCAUUACCUAACGUACGUAUGCAAAAGCAUCACCCUGUGGGCAAUGGCCGGAGAGAGAAUUGGUUGGGUGAGGGAAAGAGUAAAACCUCAAACCAAAUUCAAAGCCAGUAAUCCUCCCUGUGCUGACAUCUCUACCAAUUUCUUUUUAUCUUUUCAAUUGGGAUAAAACGAUCUACCCUUUGGCUAUGCCUCAAAGAUGGUGUGAGGAUGAAAAGAUGAUUUGCAUAAACUUAUCGCUCGCUGCAAAAGAUUUGCCCAAUAAAAUCCACUAUUAUUAUUGAUAAAAAUAAAAAUAGCAAUGCAAGCUCAUAGCCAAUCUCUGGAGAAUUUUCAUACAUUAAUGGGAAAAUUAAGUGUUAUACUGAAGACGGGAGCAACUGUUGCUAAGUUUCUCUGUUGUUUGGACCAUUGUUGCACCUUUGAAUGUGUGCAGAAACAAAAUAGCUGACGCAAAUAUUUGUGACCCAACCUGGUUCAGCCUGACUUAGAGAUAAGGAUCUUUUGAAAAAUGGCAGCAAUGAAACCAGCAUUCCAGGUUUUUCCUUUUAGGAGAAAGGGAUAGCUUAUUUAAAAAUGAAAAAAAAAAAAGUAUAAAUGGAGAUUUAAAAAUAUUGGUUUAUGUUCUAGAUACAGAUACACAUAAAUAAUCUCCAUACAAAUGAGUUCAUGUG
ensembl:lncRNA